GUUGGCCACGGAGGGAUCCUCACUUCUAGAUUGCUCAAUACUAGUGGGAAGAGAUUUUAAGCUGUCAAAGAGUAAAGGCCCAUGACCAUUCUUUUUAGAUAAAAAUUCAUCAAUAUAUCAACAUUUGGUGUAGACUUCUUAACAGCAUAGAAAACUUUUUCACCCAGGACAUAAAUCUUGAACAAAGUGGAUGAAUGGUCUACAUAUUCUUGAACAACAG
rnacentral:misc_RNA from 1 species